rnacentral:misc_RNA from 1 species
CCGAGUUUACAACUCCCAAACCCCUGUGAACAUACCAAUUGUUGCCUCGGCGGAUCAGCCCGCUCCCGGUAAAACGGGACGGCCCGCCAGAGGACCCCCUAAACUCUGUUUCUAUAUGUAACUUCUGAGUAAACCAUAAAUAAAUCA